AUUGAACGCUGGCGGCAUGCCUUACACAUGCAAGUCGAACGGUAACGGGCCUUCGGGUGCCGACGAGUGGCGAACGGGUGAGUAAUGUAUCGGAACGUACCUUUCAGUGGGGGAUAACGUAGCGAAAGUUACGCUAAUACCGCAUAUUCUGUGAGCAGGAAAGCAGGGGAUCGCAAGACCUUGCGCUGAUUGAGCGGCCGAUAUCAGAUUAGCUAGUUGGUGAGGUAAAGGCUCACCAAGGCUACGAUCUGUAGCGGGUCUGAGAGGAUGAUCCGCCACACUGGAACUGAGACACGGUCCAGACUCCUACGGGAGGCAGCAGUGGGGAAUUUUGGACAAUGGGGGCAACCCUGAUCCAGCCAUGCCGCGUGAGUGAAGAAGGCUUUCGGGUUGUAAAGCUCUUUCGGCCGGGAAGAAAUCGUAUCAGCUAAUACCUGGUGCGGAUGACGGUACCGGCAUAAGAAGCACCGGCUAACUACGUGCCAGCCGCCGCCGUAAAAC
rnacentral:rRNA from 1 species